rnacentral:rRNA from 1 species
AAGUUUGAACCGGAGAGUUUGAUCAUGGCUCAGAUUGAACGCUGGCGGUAGGCUUAACACAUGCAAGUCGGACGGCAGCAGACCGUAACAAUCCCUUCGGGGUGCGUUUGGUGCUGGCGAGUGGCGGACGGGUGAGUA